rnacentral:lncRNA from 1 species
UUUUAAUAAAUGAGUGUUUAGGUCUCAUUCUAGCGAUUAAAUGUUGAUUUGUAUGCUCGCGCAUGAGAGACUUAGUUUAUUUCGCGGUAGAAAGGACCGUGUUUGAUUACGUUCUAGUGGUUUAAAUGCCAUUGUAUGCUCGUGCAUGGGAGACUAAGAAUUUGUUUGUAUCACCGUAGGAAGGACUAAGAAAUGUUCUUUUGUGAAAAGGUUUUCCAUCAC